GGCGGAAUGGCCGAGCGGUCUAAGGCGUUGGAUUUAAGACCCAAUAUCGUAAGAUGCGUGGGUUCGAACCCCACUUCCGUCA
rfam:Strongyloides papillosus strain LIN genome assembly, scaffold: SPAL_contig0000507